GACGAACGCUGGCGGCGUGCCUAACACAUGCAAGUCGAACGGGCCCGCCCCUGUUUUUGGGGGUGGGUUGAGUGGCGAACGGGUGAGUAUCACGUGAGUAACCUGCCCCCUGCUCCUGGAUAACUGCUUGAAAGGGCGGCUAAUACGGGGUGUGCCGGCUGGUCCGCAUGGGCCUGGUCGGGAUAGUUUCAUCUUCGGGUGUUUCGGUGGGGGAUGGGCUCGCGGCCUAUCAGCUUGUUGGUGGGGUGAUGGCCCACCAAGGCGGGGACGGGUAGCCGGCCUGAGAGGGUGGGCGGCCACACUGGGACUGAGACACGGCCCAGACUCCUGCGGGAGGCAGCAGUGGGGGGUAUUGCACAAUGGGCGGAAGCCUGAUGCAGCGACGUCGCGUGAGGGAUGGAGGCCUUCGGGUUGUGAACCUCUUUCUCCGGUGGUGAAGGCCCUGUCCGUUGCGGCGGGGUUGACGGUAGCCGGGUAUGAAGCGCCGGCUAACUACGUG
rnacentral:rRNA from 1 species